AUUGAACGCUGGCGGCAGGCCUAACACAUGCAAGUCGAGCGGAGCGGCGGACGGGUGAGUAAUGCCUAGGAAUCUGCCUGGUAGUGGGGGAUAACGUCCGGAAACGGGCGCUAAUACCGCAUACUAUCAGAUGAGCCUAGGUCGGAUUAGCUAGAUGGUGGGGUAAAGGCCUACCAAGGCGCCGAUCCGUAACUGGUCUGAGAGGAUGAUCAGUCACACGGGAAGUGAGACACGGUCAAGAGUCCUACGGGAGGCAGCAGUGGGAAAUAGUGGACAAUGGGGGAAAGCCUGACCCAGCCAUGCCGCGUGUGUGAAGAAGGGCUUCGGAUUGUAAAGCACUUGAAGUUGGGAGGCGUUACCAACAGAAUAAGCACCGGCUAACUUCGUGCUAGCAGCCGCGGUAAUAC
rnacentral:rRNA from 1 species